GCGCUAAUAGCUCAGUUGGGAGAGCGUCAGACUGAAGUCAAGUCAUCAGUAAACUCGGGGUAAUCUGAAGGUCACCCGUUCAAUCCGGGUUUGGCGCA